rnacentral:piRNA from 1 species
UAGCCGUCAUGGAGGAAACAAGUAG